AUUUGGCAACUUUACCCAACUGGAUAGCUAGCCUCACAUCACUUACAAUGCUUAGCCUAGAAGAAUGCCCCAAAUUAACAUCACUGCCAGAAGAGAUGCGAUCCCUCAACAAUCUACACACACUCAAAAUCUCCUACUGCCGAAACUUGGUUAAAAGAUGCAAAAAGGAAGCCGGUGAAGAUUGGCCUAGGAUUUCUCAUAUUCCUGAAAUUAUCAUCAGGGAGUGAUCAAGAGGAUGAUUGGCAUUGAGGAGCAGACAUGCCUGCUCUCUUUAAUUCAAUAGUGUUAUCCACACUAUGUUCCAGAUUUAUUCUAUAUCAGGCCAAUACCAAAGGAGUAAUGUUGAGGAUUGGCUGAAUGCUUUCUAAUAUUUCAGAAAUAAAUGUCGACAAGUUAUGAGUAACUGCUGCACAUGGAAAGAGGUAGCCAACCAAUGCUAUCUUUAGGCUUUACAUGUUGUCUAUAACAUGUCAGCAUUAUUCAGAGGGGAGAAAACAAGGAGAAUUAGUUGGACCCUUCUUCCCAUUCCUUCCAUGAUGGAGAAAAACAUAUGGGAGCAGCAAGGAGCAUUGCCAGCAGAGAAACAGCAACGACCCUCAUUUCUGCCAUGAUUUCCUUCUCUCUAUUCUCCCUAAGCUGAUAUCCAAGCUACUACAUCUAUAUCUUAAGGAUCCUGAGUACUACCUUCUUCGUUUCCUUUCUCCUUCCUGCUUCCCAUUAUAGUCUGUGUAUUGAUGGCUUCAAAGGACCUAACAUCUCUUCCAGAAAAGAGUUUGUGGGAAUUUCGGCAAGUAAGAGAUUUUUUGGAUGAAGAUAGCAUCAAAUUCUGAGGACUUGAAAGGCUGUACCAAAUAAAUACUCAUCUAAUCCCAAGAUUUCAGCAGCUUUAUUCCAUUGGACAAUCUAAUACUUGGGACUUUGCUUAUUCUUCAAAUUUGGCAGACUAGAUUGGUACUUCACAUCACCAAGCUCAUUAUUUUUCGUUGCCUAACUUAAAAUCACUGCCAGAUGUCAAAAGGAAGCACAUGCAGAUUGGCCUAAUGACUUCUCAUGUCCAAAGAAUUCAUAACUACUAGUCACAAAUGGGCCCCUUCUCUCGUUUUAAUUCAAGUGUACAAUCCACAAGUUAUUUCAGGAGGAAUCAUGUCGUCCACUAUUGGAGGAACAAUUUUCUAGAAUGAAAUAUUGCUGUAGUGCAAAUUCCAUUUUGGGUCUCUAUAUCUAACUCAAGGAGGUUGGACUUGGAUCAGAAGAAUUAUUCUUUGGCUACUGAAGACUGCAGUUUCAUAAACAGCUCACCUGCCUAAGGAGAAUCCACAGUUUUAGACCCAAUAGGAGAAUCAGCUGAAAGAAGAUUAGAGGCAUUGGCAUCAAAGAAGCAAGGGCUUCUAUGAAAUACGACAGACUCAUCAAUGGAAAAAUAAUGGAGUUGUAUGUUUGGCCUCAAAUCAGGAAGCAGAUCGUUUUGACAAGGUAUAGAUGGCCAUUAUAACAUAUGAUGAUCAAGAGAUUAUUCAAGUCCUAAAAUAGUGGGAGAAGCCAAUCGGAGAUGAUUGAUAGACUUUCAAGACACUAGAAAGUUAUGUUGUAGGUAUUUUUAUAGUACCAUGUUACAUGUUAUUGUAGGAAUUAUCAUUCUGAAACCAACUCAAAUCUUUGUCUCUAGUUGAAUUAUAGAUGUGGAUCAAGUUUAAUCAAACCUGCCAAACAUUUAUUCACCUUAUCCUAACAAUUCAUCAUGGUACUGUAAGGAUUUGAUAUUUGGGGCACUGCUCAUUCCUCAAAUUUGGCAGAGUAGAAUAGCAGUUCACAUUUCGAUGCUCAGAUUGAAAUCACUGCUAGAGGAAUGUGAAAAGGAAGCAGGUGCAUAAUGGCCUAAUAGCUUAUCAUGUCCCAGGAAUUCAUAUCUAUGGAUCUCAAAUGGCUAAAGCACAGGGAACCUGUAGCUUCUCUUUUCUCAACUCGAGUCUACUAUCCGCAAUUUAUUUCAGUUCACUUGCAUCUAUGUGUCUCUAUUAUUUAGGAGGAAUUAUAUCAUCUACUGUUGGAGAAACGAAGUUUCCAGAAUGCAAUAUUCCUUGUGUAAAAUUGUCUCUGGAGUUUCUUUGUCAUUGCAUUGUAAGAUCAUCUCAUCUCCAAACUUAAUCCAUUGUUGGAAGACACUGAAAGCAGAUCAUCAAGGAAAGAAUCUGUUCAGAUUCUUUCAGAAUGCCACAAACUGUACUGUGAAUAGAGGUUACCCCAGAGCCAAGCUUUCUUAAACACACAGGGCGAAUAGAGUCCUACAUUGCCAUUGACCAAGAAGUGUUGAAUGCAUACUAAAGACUAUGCAGAUUGAAAAGGAUUUUUCUAUCCUUGGAGGCCUCUCAUGGUCAUGUCUUGGCAUUUUUAGACAAUCUCUGCCCUACUACUUCAUCCAAUGGCACCAAAGUUGUGGGAGAUAAAGAUGCUGCAACAGUCUUCAAUUUCAAACAGAACUCCAUGGAGCUGAUAGGUCUUGGCUGCAGCCAAAGAUCCAACUUCUUGUUGUGGCAACCUCCUAUGACAUCGGUGAGACUCAUCAACGGAAAAAUAAUUGAGCUUCUAUGUUUGGCCUCAAAGAAUGAAGCAUCCAUCUUUUUGACAAGGUCUAGCCUGCAGAUGGCUGUUGUGACAUAUAGUCAAGACAUUAUUCAUGGUCUAAAACAAUGGGAGAAGCCAAUCCGAGACGAUUGAUCUAUACUUUCAAGAUGCUGCAAAGGAAUAAAUGUUGUGCGGAUCAAGUUUAGUCAAACUCUUGGGGAUGAUUCUUACUAGAAGAUAACCUCAUAUUCCAUAACCUCGUCAAGCAUCACUGAUUAAGAGAGGAAGAAUCUAUCCAAAAUUCUCCUUGAUCUCCAUUUCUGACUCUAUUUGAAGCUUAAGCUAAGUCUCGAGGAACCACUGGGAUUGCUUAUUUAUGACAAAUUGUUGCUCAAACGUUUGUUGCCCAUUUUUGUAAUUAAGAUUUAGCUACCUACACUCCCAACACCAAAAUUCAUUUAGCUGCGUUUACCAUUUAGAUCAAAUCUCCUCAUUGAUGGAAAUAAUCAUGUCAAGGUCUUCUGAUACAUGAUAUAUAGGUAAUAUAUUGUUGAUAUUUUGCGA